AUACGGAGGGUGCAAGCGUUAUCCGGAAUCAUUGGGUUUAAAGGGUGCGCAGGCGGUUUAUUAAGUCAGUGGUGAAAUCUCGAGGCUCAACCUCGAAACUGCCAUUGAUACUGAUAAACUUGAGUUCAGUUGGAGUAGGCGGAAUGUGUAGUGUAGCGGUGAAAUGCUUAGAUAUUACACAGAACACCGAUAGCGAAGGCAGCUUACUAAACUGAUACUGACGCUGAGGCACGAAAGCGUGGGGAGCGAACAGAAUUAGAAACCCUAGUAGUCC
rnacentral:rRNA from 1 species